GGGGACGUAGCUCAUAUGGUAGAGCGCAUGCGAGAGGCACGGGGUUCGAUUCCCUGCGUCUCCA
rnacentral:tRNA from 1 species